rnacentral:tRNA from 1 species
GCCUUGUUAGCUUAGUUGGUAGUGCGUCUGCCUUGUAAGCGCUAGGUCGCGGGUUCGAUUCCCGCCUGGGGCG